rnacentral:rRNA from 1 species
GAUGAACGCUGGCGGCGUGCCUAAUACAUGCAAGUCGAGCGAACAGACGAGGAGCUUGCUCCUCUGACGUUAGCGGCGGACGGGUGAGUAACACGUGUAUAACCUACCUAUAAGACUGGUAUAACUUCGGGAAACCGGAGCUAAUCGCGGAUAAUAUAUUGAACCGCAUGGUUCAAUAGUAAAAGACGGUUUUGCUGGCAGUUCUAGAUGGAUCCGCGCCGCAUGAGCUAGUAGUUAGGGUAACGGCUUACCAAGGCAACGAUGCGUAGCCGAGCGGUGAGGGGGAUAGGCCACCCUGGAACGGAGACACGGUCCAGACUCCUACGGGAGGCAGCAGAAGGGAAUCUGACGCAAUGGGCGAAAGCCUGACGGAGCAACGCCGAGUGAGUGAUGAAGGUCUUCGGAUCGUAAAACUCUGCUACUAGGGAAGAACAAAUGUGUAAGGAACUAUGCACUGCGUGACGGUACCUAAUCAGAAAGCCACGGCUAACUACGUG